rnacentral:rRNA from 1 species
CACGUAGGGCGCAAGCGUUGUCCGGAAUUAUUGGGCGUAAAGAGCUCGUAGGCGGUCUGUUACGUCUGCUGUGAAAACCCUGGGCUUAACCCCCGGGCCUGCAGUGGGUACGGGGCAGACUAGAGUGCGGUAGGGGAGACUGGAAUUCCUGGUGUAGCGGUGAAAUGCGCAGAUAUCAGGAGGAACACCGGUGGCGAAGGCGGGUCUCUGGGCCGUAACUGACGCUGAGGAGCGAAAGCGUGGGGAGCGAACAGG